rnacentral:rRNA from 1 species
AUGCUAUGGGACUGCAAGGAAUCUGUCAGCGGUGGGAAAUGCAAGGUCAACUGGCAGAAGAUCUGCCGCCCUAAGGAGCUUGGUGGAUUGGGGAUCCUAGAUUUGGAAAGGUUCUCCCGCGCCCUUAGACUUCGCUGGCUUUGGGACGAAUGGAAGGCUCCUGAAAAACCUUGGGUAGGUUUUGAAACUCCUAACGAUGCCUCAGAUAGACAGCUCUUCAACGCCGCGACUCGUGUUACUAUCGGGGAUGGCAAGAAGGCCUCCUUUUGGUCUUCCUCAUGGCUUGACGGCAAGCCACCGAAAGAUAUGGCACCUCUGAUCUUCAAAGCUUCGAGGAGGAAAAACCGAACGGUCCAUGAUGCCCUUACUGAUCAUACCUGGGUAGCGGAUAUUGCGGUGGAGGCCUUCACGGCAGAGCACAUUGGCCAGUUCGUCCAGCUAUGGGAUCUCAUCUCAGAUAUCCAGCUCUCCCCAGAUAUAGAAGAUUCCAUCAUCUGGACCCUCUCCCCAAAUGGAUGCUACUCUGCGAGCUCCGCCUAUAAGGCGCAGUUCAUGACCGCGCUGCCUUGCUCCUUCGGCUCGAUUGUCUGGAAAACGUGGGUGCCUCCCAAAUGCCGCUUCUUCGCUUGGCUCGCCGUCCAAAAUCGCCUCUGGACCGCGGAUCGCCUGGCCAAACGUGGAUGGCCACACCAGCCCUCCUGCCAGCUAUGCCGGUGCUCCCCUGAGACGGCGAGACACAUGCUCUUUGAAUGCCGUUACUCCAAGAGGAUCUGGUCCGCGGCGGCAUCCUGGCUCUCCUGCCCGGAAUUACUGCUUAGCAUGGGCUCUGGUCGCCCCAAGGUGGUGGACUACUGGCAGGCCUUAGCUAGGUCGCCCUCUUCCUCUCCCAAGGGUCUAAAAACGGCUAUCAUGCUCAUCACCUGGGAAAUCUGGAAGGAAAGAAAUGAGAGAGUCUUCAACAAGAAAUCCUCUCUGCCGGUGGUGGUCAUGCACAAGAUAAGAGAGGUAGCAAAAGAUUGGACUCUAGCGGGAGCAAAAAACCUGGCGGAUCUUGUGGGCUGA